GAGAUGGAUUGGUGCCUUCGGGAACUCUGACACAGGUGCUGCAUGGCUGUCGUCAGCUCGUGACGUGAGAUGUUGGGUUAAGUCCCGUAACGAGCGCAACCCUUGUCCUUAGUUACCAGCACGUUAUGGUGGGAACUCUAAGGAAACUGCCGGUGACAAACCGGAGGAAGGUGGGGAUGACGUCAAGUCAUCAUGGCCCUUACGGCCUGGGCUACACACGUGCUACAAUGGUCGGUACAGAGGGUUGCCAAGCCGCGAGGUGGAGCUAAUCUCACAAAACCGAUCGUAGUCCGGAUCG
rnacentral:rRNA from 1 species